ACUCCUACGGGAGGCAGCAGUGGGGAAUAUUGCACAAUGGGGGAAACCCUGAUGCAGCCAUGCCGCGUGUGUGAAGAAGGCCUUGGGUUGUAAAGCACUUUCAGUAGGGAGGAAGGUAGUGUAGUUAACACCUGCAUUAUUUGUACGUUACCUACAGAAGAAGCACCGGCUAACUCCGUGCCAGCAGCCGCGGUAAGUACGGAGGGUGCGAGCGUUAAUCGGUAAUUACGUGGGCGUAAAGCGCAUGCGAGGCGGCCUGUUAAGUCAGAUGUGAAACGCCCGGGGUCUUAACCUCGGAAUUGCAUUUGAAACUGGCAGGCUAGAGUCUUGUAGAGGGGUUAGAA
rnacentral:rRNA from 1 species